rnacentral:rRNA from 1 species
AGCGAACGCUGGCGGCAGGCCUAAUACAUGCAAGUCGAGCGCCCCUUCGGGGGAGCGGCGGACGGGUGAGUAACGCGUGGGAACGUGCCCUUUGGUACGGAACAACUGAGGGAAACUUCAGCUAAUACCGUAUGUGCCCUUCGGGGGAAAGAUUUAUCGCCAUUGGAGCGGCCCGCGUUGGAUUAGGUAGUUGGUGGGGUAAAGGCCCACCAAGCCUACGAUACAUAGCUGGUCUGAGAGGAUGAUCAGCCACACUGGGACUGAGACACGGCCCAGACUCCUACGGGAGGCAGCAGUAGGGAAUCUUGCGCAAUGGGCGAAAGCCUGACGCAGCCAUGCCGCGUGUAUGAUGAAGGUCUUAGGAUUGUAAAAUACUUUCACCGGGGAAGAUAAUGACGGUACCCGGAGAAGAAGCCCCGGCUAACUUCGUGCCAGCCGCCGCCGUAA